GAAACUCGCCUACAUGAAGCUGGAGUUACUAGUAAUCGCAGAUCAGAAUGCUGCGGUGAAUGCGUUCCCGGGUCUUGUACACACCGCCCGUCACACCACGGAAGUUGGGGCGCCCGAAGCCACUUAGCUAACCCAUUUGGGAAGCGAGUGUCGAAGGUGAAAUCAAUAACUGGGGUGAAGUCGUAACAAGGUAAC
rnacentral:rRNA from 1 species